rnacentral:rRNA from 1 species
UCUGGUGGCGAUAGCGAAGAGGUCACACCCGUUCCCAGACCGAACACGGAAGUUAAGCUCUUUAGCGCCAAUGGUAGUUGGGACUUUGUCCCUGUGAGAGUAGGACGUUGCCAGGC